AACUGUGGGGACACGUAAGGAGAGCGGGAGCCGGGAAUGGAAAGCCCGGUACAAGCGAGGUACCAGUAUGGUAGGAAAAACCGCCAAGCAAUGGGAAGACGUGAUGUGGAGUGAAAUAUAGUAACGAAGCCCGUGAGCCAUGCGUCAAGAAAAGCCGCUAUUGUUUAUAUUGUACCCGUACCGUAAACCGACACAGGUGGAUGAGGAGAGAAUCCUAAGGCCGGCGGAAGAAGUACUGCCAAGGAACUCGGCAAAAUGGCCCCGUAACUUAGGGAGAAGGGGUGCCUGCGAGAGCAGGCCGCAGAGAAUAGGCUCAAGCAACUGUUUGGCAAAAACACAGGUCUAUGCGAAACCGAAAGGUGAGGUAUAUGGGCUGACGCCUGCCCGGUGCUGGAAGGUUAAGAGGAGAGGUUAGACGCAAGUCGAAGCUUUGAAUUUAAGCCCCAGUAAACGGCGGCCGUAACGAUAACGGUCCUAAGGUAGCGAAAUUCCUUGUCGGGUAAGUUCCGACCCGCACGAAAGGCGUAAUGAUUUGAGCGCUGUCUCGGCAAUACAUCCGGUGAAAUUGAAGUGCCAGUGAAGAUGCUGGCUACCCGCGCCAGGACGGAAAGACCCCAUGGAGCUUUACUCCAGUUUGGCACUGGGGUCCGGUGUUGCAUGUACAGAUAGGUGGGAGGCUGAGAGAUAGUGACGUCAGUUGCUAUGGAGCCGCUGUUGGGAUACCACCCUUGUGAUAUUGGGCUUCUAACCAGCCGCCGUGAACCGGCGGUGGGACAAUGCCAGGCGGGGAGUUUGACUGGGGCGGUCGCCUCCGAAAGGGUAUCGGAGGCGCCCAAAGGUUCCCUCAGAAUGGACGGAAACCAUUCGAAGAGUGCAAAGGCAGAAGGGAGCUUGACUGCGACACCGACGGGUGGAGCAGGUACGAAAGUAGGGCUUAGUGAUCCGGUGGUAUUAAGUGGGAAUGCCAUCGCUCAACGGAUAAAAGCUACCCUGGGAUAACAGGCUUAUCACUCCCAAGAGUUCACAUCGACGGAGCGGUUUGGCACCUCGAUGUCGGCUCAUCGCAUCCUGGGGCUGUAGUAGGUCCCAAGGGUUGGGCUGUUCGCCCAUUAAAGCGGUACGCGAGCUGGGUUCAGAACGUCGUGAGACAGUUCGGUCCCUAUCCGGCGUGGGCGUAGGAUAUCUGAGAGGAGCCGUCCUUAGUACGAGAGGACCGGGAUGGACGGACCGCUGGUGGACCGGUUGGCUUGCCAAAGCCAUGGCCGGGUAGCCAAGUCCGGAAGGGAUAAACGCUGAAGGCAUCUAAGCGUGAAGCCCCCCUCAAGAUGAGAUAUCCCAUUCUUUAAGAAGUAAACCCCCUUGAAGACGACGAGGUAGAUAGGGCAGAGGUGGAAGUGUGGUAACACAUGGAGCUGACUGUUACUAAUCGGGUGAGGGCUUGACC
rnacentral:rRNA from 1 species